rnacentral:rRNA from 1 species
UACGGAGGGUGCGAGCGUUGUCCGGAAUCAUUGGGCGUAAAGGGCGCGUAGGUGGCCCGGUCAGCGUGCGGUGAAACGCUCGGGGCUCAACCCCGAGUCGGCCGUGCGAACUGCUGGGCUCGAGCACUGUAGAGACAGGCGGAAUCCGGGUGUAGCGGUGGAAUGCGUAGAGAUCCGGAAGAACACCGGUGGCGAAGGCGGGUCUCUGGGCAGUAACUGACGCUGAGGAGCGAAAGCGUGGGGAGCGAACAGG